GGCGCCGAGGCCCGGCCGAGGUCCAAAAGGAGAGCAGGGCCCGCAUCGGUUGUCAUGGGGACGGCGGCGUAGGCAGGCGCUGACGUCGGCUGGAGCCGCGCUGCCCGCACUGCGGCACCCGGCGGGUGCUCAGAGCUUGGGAGGCUGGCGGUGGGGGUGCCUGGGUGGCUACCUCACUCCCAGCCCGCCCCGCAAGGUCCGGGCGGUGGCUCCCUAGGGACCCGCUGUCGGCAGCUCUGCGCCCUCUUCUGUGGUGUCAUCUUGGUGCUGAAUCUUGAACCUGUGAAAUGCCUUCUUAAUUACAUCCGAGAAAAGGGUUAGUGUUAGUUGCUCAGUCGUGUCCGACGCUGCGACCUCAUGGACUGUAACCUACCACGCUCCUCUGUCCGUGGAAUUCUCCAGGAUCCUGACUGAAUCAGUGCUUUAUACUAUCACUCAAUACUCUCCAUAAAGCUGAGAUAUGCCCACUGUUGAGAGUGAAGCUAAAGUGAAGACCAAAGUUCGCUUUGAGGAGUUGCUGAAGGCCCACAAUGAUCUAAUACGUGAAAGAAAAAAACUGAAGAAAAAAAUUGUCCAAUCUGGAGAAAAAAUCUCACUUGAUGCUGUUACAAGCAAUCUUCAGAAAACCAGGGAAACUAAAAGUGAUGCUAUAACUGCUGUUAAUACUAAGAACCCAGAGAAGCACAUGCGAGUGACUAAAAACAAACCAAGGGAUCCGCAGUCAGCAACUGAAGAUCCAGAAAAUGAUGUUAGUGUGGGGGAUGACAAGCAAGAAAAGGCAAGUAAGAAGGUUACGAAAACAGCGCUUCAGGUGACUGCACAAGAGAUGGAGCCAGAAGCUCCUGAGCAGGGAGAUGCGACACCUCAGAAAACACGGACUAAGCCACAGCCUGGCGUCACUCAUGACAAAAGCGAAAAGGCCAAGGAGGAGGGAGAAAAGAAUAGUUUAGAUGAGGAACAACUGAUGCAAGUGUACCAGCUCCAAGUAGCUGAAGAAAUGGCAAAGGAGAUUAAGAAGAAAAUCCGAAAGAAACUCAAGGAGCAGUUGUCUUACUUUCCCUUAGAUUCUUCAUUGCAUGAUGACAAAUUGAGUGGUGAAAAAAGAAAAAAGAAAAAAAAGAAAGUUCCCAUCUUGUCUAAAUCUGAAACAAGUACGUCGAUCAUCUCUGAUGACCCAGUUGAAGGUGAACAAAAGAAAGAAUCUCCAGUUGGAGCAGUUACUUCAGAUACUCAUCAAGAUGAUGAAAUGAGCUCAAAGGAACAAAAUGUAGAAGACAACAUGCAAGAUGACACAAAAUCCAAACUGAAAAAAAAGAAAAAGAAGGCUAAAACAGGUGAUAAUGAAGACACUGAUGGUGAUGGUGUUCAUGAAAUAAGAAGCCGUGAUAGUCCAGUUUAUCCCAAAUGUUUGCUUGAUGAUGACCUUGUCCUGGGAGUUUACAUUCACCGGACUGAUCGACUUAAGUCAGAUUUUAUGAUUUCUCACCCAAUGGUAAAAAUUCAUGUGGUUGAUGAGAAUACUGGUCAAUAUGUCAAGAAAGAUGAUAGUGAACGGCCUGUUUCAUCUUACUAUGAAAAAGAGAAUGUGGAUUAUAUUCUUCCUAUUAUGACCCAGCCGUAUGAUUUUAAACAGUUAAAAUCAAGGCUUCCAGAGUGGGAAGAACAAAUUAUAUUUAAUGAAAAUUUUCCCUAUUUGCUUCAAGAUUUUGAUGAGAGCCCUAAAGUCAUCCUGUUCUUUGAGAUUCUUGAUUUCUUAAGCAUGGAAGAAAUUAAGAGUAACUCUGAAAUUCGAAACCAAGAAUGUGGCUUCCGGAAAAUCGCCUGGGCAUUUCUCAAGCUUCUAGGAGCCAAUGGAAAUGUAAACAUCAAUUCAAAACUUCGCUUGCAACUGUAUUACCCACCUACUAAGCCUCGAUCCCAGUCAAAUGUCGUUGAGGUUUUUGAGUGGUGGUCAAAAUGUCCAAGAAAUCAUUAUCCAUCAACAUUGUAUGUAACUGUAAGAGGAUUGAAAGUUCCAGAAUGUGUAAAGCCAUCUUACCAUUCUAUGAUGGCUCUUCAGGAAGAAAAGGGGAAACCAGUGUACCGUGAGCGACACCAUGAGCCAAGUUCAGUGGACACAGAGCCUGGAUUAGAAGAUUCAAAGGAAGUGGUGAAGUGGAAACGGUUGCCUGGGCAGGCCUGCCGUAUCCCAAACAAGCACCUCUUCUCACUAAAUGCAGGAGAGCGAGGAUGCUUUUGUCUUGCUUUCUCCCACAAUGGAAGAAUAUUAGCAGCAGCCUGUGCCAGCCGGGAUGGGUAUCCCAUUAUUUUGUAUGAAAUUCCUUCUGGACGUUUCAUGAGAGAAUUGUGUGGCCACCUCAAUAUCAUUUACGAUCUCUGCUGGUCCAGAGACGAUCGUUAUAUUCUCACUGCGUCAUCUGACGGCACUGCCAGGAUAUGGAAAAAUGAAAUAAGCAAUACAAAUACUUUCAGAGUUUUACCUCAUCCUUCUUUUGUUUACACGGCUAAAUUCCACCCAGCUGUAAGAGAGCUGGUGGUGACAGGAUGCUAUGAUUCUGUCAUACGUAUAUGGAAAGUUGCUAUGAGAGAGGAUCCUGCCAUAUUGAUCCAACAGUUUGACACUCACAAGAGUUUCAUCAACUCUCUCUGUUUUGAUAUUGAAGGUCACCACAUGUAUUCAGGAGACUGCACGGGGGUGAUUGUUGUCUGGAAUACGCAAGUCAAAGUCGAUGAUGUACAACGCUCAGUGCGUCACUGGGGUGUUAACAAGGAAAUUAAAGAGAGUGAGUUUAAGGGAAUCCCGAUAAGUUACUUGGAGGUUCAUCCCAAUGGAAAACGUUUAUUAAUUCAUACCAAAGACAGUACUUUGAGAAUUAUGGAUCUCCGAAUAUUAGCAGCAAGGAAAUUUGUAGGUGCAGCAAAUUAUCGAGAGAAGAUUCAUAGCACUUUGACACCAUGUGGGACUUUUCUCUUUGCUGGAAGUGAGGAUGGUAUAGUACAUGUUUGGAACCCAGAAACAGGAGACCAAGUAGCAAUGUAUUCUGACCUGCCAUUCAAGUCACCAGUUCGAGACAUUGCUUAUCAUCCACUUGAAAAUAUGGUUGCAUUUUGUGCAUUUGGGCAGAAUGAGCCAAUUCUCCUAUAUAUUUAUGAUUUCCAUGUUGCCCGGCAGGAGGCUGAAAUCUUCAGACGCUACAAUGGAACCUUUCCAUUACCUGGAAUACACCAAAGUCAAGAUGCUUUAUGCACCUGCCCUAAACUGCCUCAUCAAGGAUCCUUUCAGACUGAUGACUAUGUCCCCACUGAACAUUCUUCAAUGAAGAUGCAGCAAGUGAAACAGAGAAUUGAUUCUGUCACAGAGGUGAUACGAGCCUGUGCAGCAAAGGUCAACAAAAAUCUCUCAUUCACUUCGACAUCAGCCGCCUCACAGCAGUCUAAGUCAAAACAAUCAAACAUGCUGGACGCUCAUCAGAUUCUGCGUCAGUUUGGUUUCACUCAAACCGGGAUUAUGAGCACAGAAAGAAAGCCUUGUAACCACCAUGUAGAUAUAGCACCGACGGUAGUGGCUCUUUAUGACUACACAGCGAAUCGAUCAGAUGAACUAACCAUCCAUCGCGGAGACAUUAUCCGAGUGUUUUUCAAAGAUAAUGAAGACUGGUGGUAUGGCAGCAUAGGGAAGGGACAGGAAGGUUAUUUUCCAGCUAAUCAUGUGGCUAGUGAAACACUCUAUCGAGAACUGCCUCCGGAGGUGAAGGAGAGAUCCCCUCCUUUAACCCCCAAGGAGAAAGCCAAAGUGGAAAAAGCUUUUCCAGCUCCGCAGAAGUUCUGAGGGGGGCAGAGAACAGAGCCAGGAGGACCAAGGACACGUCAUGGACACACAGGGGAAGGAGACGGAGCAAGCCAGCCGGAAAGUCACCCUCACCGAGUAAAGAGCUGAAGAAUGAAGAGGGAAAGAACCAAAUAUAUAGAAAGGAAAUGACAAAUUAAACCAAAUGGAAUUUCUUGUCAGAGUUCAGAAAUUUCAGCUGGCCAGGAAGAAAGGAUCUACUACGUUUUAUCCUUAUGAAAGAAUCUAGAAACAUCAGAAGCAAGGUAUGCGUGGAGAAAUAAAUGUGGCCUUUUGAGCUUGUUACAAACCAUCGUGUUUGUUGUUGAUCAAAAUAAUGGCACUUGCAUUAUUAGUAAUUGCAUCAAAAUUACAUUACCAUUGUUGGAAAAUCAAUAAAGAAAAACUAUAAUUGCUACUCAGCAAGUACGAAGAAAAAGUGUUGGUAUUGCUAGAAUGUCUGUUAAGUUUAAUAUUAUUAUAUUUGUUAUGUGGUUAUAUGUGUGGUGUUAUGCUCAGAUUUGAAAUAUAUGCUAUUGAAACUUAACUUUAUUUAAAAUAAAGAUAAGCAGCUUCAGGAUUUUGUGUAUUCAAAAUGUUCCAAAUAAGAAAGGCAUUAAAAGGUAACAAAUGUGUUUGUUUUGAAUGAAUUGUAUGUAUAACUUGAUACACAUAAACUAAAAGUGGCUUUUGGCUAGACUGGCAACAGUUUUCCAGAUAUUUUUUUACUUUUUAAAAAAAGGUGUUUCAUGUUGAAGCAUGUAAGUGAUUUGUAGACUUAAAUUGUUUUCAUAUUUAUUUUAGUCUUAACACAUGUUUUUAAAUUUUUACAUUGGAUUAAUUAUUCCUUUAGUUCCAGAGUAACAAUGUCAUAUUUGACUAUGUAUUUUGAAGUGUGAGGUUAUAAAAUAGGAAAUUUUAUCUCUUUGUGUUUUAUGUGGCUCUUCUUUUUCAACUGUGUGACUGUAAGUCUGUCAAUAAAUAUUUAACCUCAAGAAGGUCAAGACUAAUAUAAAAUUAGAAAACUUAUUUACCGAAUUAGACAACUGAUUCCAUUAAAAUAAGAAGUGAGAAAAACAGUGUUGGGCACUGGGGUGUAAAUUUUGCCCAGAUGUAUACCCAAUGUGAAGAAUCUUCUAGUAAAAAUAUAUUUGACUCUUCCCCUGCACAUGUUGUAGAAGUAUGAAAAUUGGUAAACGUACCCCCACUGUGUAGACCUUGGGGCGGGGGGUCACUGGUGAAGUGAUGAGUGUCAGUGAUGACUGCUGGGGCCCUCGGCGAUAAGCACAGAAGUGUGUUCUUCUAGCACCAAGCUCCCCUGUUCUGGGUGCAUGUGUCUCUGCUUCAGGUACAGCUGGACCCAGGCAGCCUGAGUCGCCCUUGCACCAGCCUGUUUUUUCUUCUAGUGAAUGUACUUGAUAAUUAAAAAGUAAAAACAUGUGGCUCUCUGGAGUUUUAGCUCUCAGUUUUGAGAUAUGUGUUGGUUCUCUGAUUUGGGCUUUAAUUACAAAGAAUUUCAACAAGUUUCAAAAAGAUUCUAAAUCAAGAUGAUAAUGAAAUAAUAUCUCAGAGGACCUAACAUUUGCUGAGACCCCAACAUUCAUAUGAAAACUAAAGGACUGUUUUUAUAUUGCAAUGACUGAAGACAAACUAACAAUUACGACAAACACCAGGAAAAGUUGUUUCUGCUCGAAGCCCAUUUCUUUUCUUUUCUGUCCUGUUGACAAGACAAGACUUGGGUUAUCCAUGAAUACAUUAAAAAAAAGUCUUCACCACCCUUGCUAACGUGAGACAGAGUAGGGUGGGGGAGAUAAUAAAAGUGCCCUCCAAGUAAUAAGUCCAGAUUAUAAUCAAGCAGAGAAAUCAGACAUAGGAAUCCAUUUGAAGGGCUUCCCUGGUGGCUCAGUGGUAAAAAAUGCACCUGCCAAUGCUGCAGACUCGGGUUUGAUCCCUGAUCUGGGAAGAUCCCACAUGCCACAGAGCAACUAAGCCCAUAUACCACAGCUAUUGAGCCUGCUCUCUCAAGCCUGGGAGCCACAACUCCUGAAACCCACAUGCUUUAGAGCCUGUGCUCUGCAACAAGAGAAGCCAGCACAAUGGGAAGCCCUCACACGGCGACUAGAGAGGAGCCCCUGCUCGCAGCAGCCCGAGAAAAACCCAGGCAGCACUGAAAAGCCAGCACAACCCAAAAUAAAAAACACUUAUUAAAAAAUAGUCCACUGGAAGAUUUAUAAUACUGCAUAUUUACUUAGUAAUAAAUUUGUUUUGUUUUAUUUUUAUUCUAAAAUUACUGAAUUUUAUCCCAUUUUAUAGUCUCUUUUCUCCAAAUAAGUAACAAUUUGACACUACCUUUUC